GACGAACCGAGCGAACGUUGUUCGGAAUCACUGGGCUUAAAGGGCGCGUAGGCGGGCUGUCAAGUCUGGGGUGAAAUCCCGCGGCUCAACCGUGGAACUGCCUCAGAUACUGACGGCCUCGAGGGGGGUAGGGGCGAGCGGAACGGAUGGUGGAGCGGUGAAAUGCGUUGAUAUCAUCCGGAACUCCGGUGGCGAAGGCGGCUCGCUGGACCUCUUCUGACGCUGAGGCGCGAAAGCUAGGGGAGCAAACGGG
rnacentral:rRNA from 1 species